rnacentral:rRNA from 1 species
AGAGUUUGAUCAUGGCUCAGAACGAACGCUGGCGGCGUGCCUAACACAUGCAAGUCGAACGUGAUUCAUCCUUCGGGGUGAUGAAAGUGGCGCACGGGUGAGUAAUGCGUAGAUAAUCUGCCUGGUGAUCUGGGAUAACAUCUCGAAAGGGGUGCUAAUACCUGAUAAGCCCACGGAGUCUUCGGGCUCUGCGGGAAAAGGGGGGGACCUUCGGGCCUUCUGUCACCAGAUGAGUCUACGUACCAUUAGCUAGUUGGUGGGGUAAAGGCCUACCAAGGCGACGAUGGUUAGCUGGUCUGAGAGGAUGAUCAGCCACACUGGAACUGAGACACGGUCCAGACUCCUACGGGAGGCAGCAGUGGGGAAUUUUGCGCAAUGGGGGAAACCCUGACGCAGCAACGCCGCGUGAGUGAUGAAGGCCUUCGGGUCGUAAAGCUCUGUCAGAGGGAAAGAAAUGUCGGGUGGCUAAUAACCACUUGACUUGACGGUACCCUCAAAGGAAGCACCGGCUAACUCCGUGCCAGCAGCCGCGGUAAUACGGAGGGUGCGAGCGUUGUUCGGAAUUAUUGGGCGUAAAGCGCGUGUAGGCGGUUUGUUAAGUCUGAUGUGAAAGCCCCGGGCUCAACCUGGGAAGUGCAUUGGAUACUGGCAGACUUGAAUACGGGAGAGGGCAGUGGAAUUCCUAGUGUAGGAGUGAAAUCCGUAGAUAUUAGGAGGAACACCGGUGGCGAAGGCGGCUGCCUGGACCGACAUUGACGCUGAGACGCGAAAGCGUGGGGAGCAAACAGGAUUAGAUACCCUAGUAGUCC